CAUUUCAGGAAUCUGAUAGAGGAAAAAGAUGUUAUGGUAUGUUUAAUUGUAUAUCGUAGCUUGUGCCCUGGCCUAUUGCUGUGUAAACGCCUUUAAGCAGACAUAAGUAAGUAGGUUAGACUUGUUAUUGUAGAAUCCCGUUAUCUGAAGGCCACAGUGUAAGGAACGGCGGGUGAUAACAUAGAAAUGGCCUUCUAGCAAAACUGCAAGAUUAGUACAGUUGAAACAAGCUGAAGCAAGAAGUGCGGGAAUGCAUGCAGCAAACCUGAUUGGUCUGUAAGGAAAAACACCCCUUCUGUGUAUUUUGUGUACUCCUGUAUAAAACUUAUUGGUACCGAAGAAGAGGAUCUUUUGUCUGACAGGGAGACAUUAGAUCCUAUUUGUAUACGGGAAAAAUUGUGUGCUCCUGUAUACAAGUAGAAAUAAAAACCCAUUCUUUGUUUCUUAAGUUUACUUGUAUCAGAUUUUUUCUCUCCAGAUACAGACACAUAAUUCGCGGAUCUAACAAUUGGGGGCUCGUCCGGGAUCCCAACAUCUCAUCGCACCCUACAGUAAACCCGCCAGACCAGUAGUUGUAUACGUGAGUUGUCAGGGACAACCCGCCGCUGGGCGGACCUAGAUCGAGAAGGAUCGAAAGGCCGUAUAUAAGAAUUAUCUGGGAUAAUUUGCUCGAACACUCUACAGCCUCAAAUCGGUGAGGAUCCCCCUGAGAGAAAGUCGUCCUCGACGUACAAGUGGGGUGAGUGGUGGAGCCGGUCUGGGGGCAAACCGGGAGAGUGGACUAUCACCGAGACAUCGUUGGUCCCCUCGCUGCAACCGGGAGACUGGAUCCUGAUUAAAGACGUAAAAAGAAAGACCUGGCAUCACCCUAAAUGGAAGGGACCGUUUCAAGUCCUCCUGACUACUCCCACCACCGCUGUUAAAAUUGCAGAAAGAACUACUUGGAUACAUUUGACACAUUGUAAAAA